rnacentral:lncRNA from 1 species
CACAAAAGCCCUGGGACAGAGAGUAAAAAAGACUGGACAGACCCCACGCAGUGUGCGGUGUGCGUGUGUGCACAGUGUGUGUGCAGUGUGUGUGUGCGGCGUGUGUGUGCACAGUGUGUGUGUGCACAGCGUGUGUGUGGGACGUGCAGGGCAGGCAGGGCUGAGCUCCUCGGCUCCGGAGAGGCGGGGGAAGCGCGCUGGGCGCUGAGGCCCAAGGAGCAGAGGCCACCUCGCCCAGUUCUCUCCCCGCGGAAAUGUAACGAGCAAACGCAUGGAGCGUAUCUCUUGAUCAAACGCCGUGUCCUCCGUCCUCAGGAAAGGUCCAGCGGCGAGAGCUCUGAGCACAGCCAACGUCGCCGGGAACCUUGGCCCACGGGCUCGCACGACAGAGGAAGACUCGCGGCCGGCUGCGCGGCAAAGUGCUCCCAGAUGAGCCGCUGGAAACAGCACGUGACAGCAGCGAGCGUGAGAGUUGGAAUCACCUUUAAAGACUGUCACAUCUGCCAAGGGCCGGAUGGGUGCAGGGAAGCUGAACUCAGGAGCCGGAGGCGGAGGGCGGGAGGGGAAGCCUCUGGAAAGGCACCUGAGAGCGGCUGGCGGGAUGAAACAUGGACGCCCGGAGCUCUGAAACUGCAGGCAAACCUGAGGCACCGCUGGCCUGGACGCCUUCGCCUCCAAGCCCACAGGCUCGGGGGGCGCCUGCCCUGGAGUCCAGCUGCUGCGGCCCCCGCGCCGCCCUGCUCCGCCUCCGACCCGCUCCCGCUCCCACGCAGACGGGCUCCCCGUGAAGCUGCGUGAACACGCGUCCUGCCGCUGACACACAUGAGCACAGACUCCGCGGCUACAACAGCCCAGGCUUGUUCUCCCGCAGCUCGGAAGUCGGAAACCUGCAUGGAGCUUUAUGGGGCCGGUCCAGGCGGCCGGGCGGUGUCCCCCAGGGCAGCGUCUCCUCUCCCCCUGCUUCUGCUGCCGCCACCGGGCUUUGGCCCCUCUUACCUUCUCGCCCCUCUAACUAGGCCCCCUGACUAGACUGUGCUUUCGUGGAAAACCGGGAGUCUCCCAGCUCCACACCCUCACCUGCCACACACCCGCAGAGUCCUGUCUCUGUAUUAUCUACAUAAUUUUUCUGUAAAUCUAAAACUAUUCUUGAAAAAUGAACUUUAUUUUUAAAAUCUCCUGUCUUGUGUGAUCACCCCAUCUUCUGCCUGGAUGUGUCUAGACUCUAGGGAGGCACUGGGGAACCCCAACCUGGGGCGGUUGGCAUGGGACGCUCAGGUCCACCAUCUCCCCUGAACCCUGAGGUUCCACACGUGCUCCCCUCAGACUGAGCACCGCCACGUGGAAGCCAAAUGUCUGACGUCCAAGAAGAUGUGAGGACGGCAGACCUCUC